GUGCUUACUUCAGCUGUACAUAUGCUAAAAUUGAAACAGGACAGGUUAGCAUGGUCUUUACACAAGCAUAACAUGGAAAUUUGCAAAGUAUUUGAUAGUUAC
rnacentral:snRNA from 1 species